CUCUGUAAAAUGCCAUCCUCAUUUGUGCGCUGGAUCGGACGGUCCCCGAAGCGAGCCAGGCACUCCCCGCUCCUCCGCCUCCGCACCCGGCCGUCUCCUCUCGCCGCUUCAAUUCGAGGAGAGGGAUCGAUGGCGGCCGCGGCGCCGGCGUACCGGCGGGUUCUCAAGGCGGUGCAGAAGCACGUCGGCGGGGGAGCCUCCAAGCAGCGCUUCCGCGACUUCGUCGCCGCCGAGUUCCGCGCCCCCGCCGGCACGGAGGCCGACGCCAGGGCGAGGCUGCGGCUCACCGGGGACUACGCCUACCUCCUCACCAGCGUCCACCACCACAAGGACCUGCUAUUCCCAUAUAAUAUAGCUGUAGACCGAUCCGAUGAAAUGAAGAAAAUAUUGAACAAAUCUGCUGCUAGUGUAGGCCUUCAGCUUCCAGAUGUCUACCAGCCAUGAGCUUUUCUGCACGUUUAUGGGACCCAUGGUGAUGCUGCUGCAGAUGUUCCAGCACCUUCAUUUCCUUGUGCCCAAGCUGGAGGAAAAUGCCCUGAUUUGUUGCCCUCGUUCCUGUUCUUGUCAUCUGAACUAUCUUCAAAGGAACCAUAGUCUAUGUUCUGAAGUACUGUUGGAAUCUGCAUACCCCCAACAAGUACUUCUUUGUUUUCCAUGUCUACAUCAAUCUUUUCCCUUGGGGUUGUCACAUCUAUCCCAAUAUAUGGAGUGUAGAACCCAGCUUCAAGUGCUCCCUCAACUACCCGUGAACGGAAAUCAUUCCGCGGAGGAGGUAUCUUGGUAAAGAACACUUCCACAAAGUUUGCUGCUAUGCUCUUUCGGUAGGGAUUGUCCUUCUUAUCGUAAUGGUAUCUGAAGUUCUCAUAUGUUGUCUGUAGUGCAGAAUAUGUAGUUAGUAUUUGUAAAACUAUAGGAGCUUGAAGUACUAAUACGAUUAAAACAGUCAUUGCAAAUGUUGGAAACUUUUAAACUACUCUGUCGACCAUAAAGACAUUUUAAUUUGGAUAUUAUAUAGCUCACAACAGUAGACCAUAAAGCCAUUUUAAUUUGGAUAUUAUAUAGCUCACAACCUUAAUCUGGAGUUUUUACAUUGUACUUGGUUACAUGUGAUCUGAAUUGGGAAUUCGAAUCAACAAUAAAUGUUCUAACAGAACCAAAUUUUCCUUUCUUUUCCUUGUGUAUGGCCCUGUACAGUCUUUGCAUCUUAAUAACACUUUCAGUAGAGAUCUGGCCCAUGCCAAAAGUAAAAUUCAAUCAAAAUAUUUGGUCAGUGCAAAAUUCUUGUUGCUUCUACUGGAUCUAUCAGUACCAGAGCAAGAAAUCAUAUGGAGUUGCUAGUUCAAGAGACCAAAACUGUCUUAUUGUUGUCCAGUCAAAUGCAUUACUCAAAUUCUGGUAUAAGAGAAUCAGAAUUCUUAACAAUAUUCUAAAAAGAUAUGCAACAAAAGGAAGUAAAACCACCUGAUUAGUACUUAUCAGAUAGAGAUGAAAUACUGUGAGGCCACCAACAAACCAAACAACUAUGGAAGUAUAUAUGAUUAGCGCAAAAGAGUAUGCUUCCUUGCGCAAGGCCUUCCAGAUAGAGCCACUGUUGUCUUCCAUUUGGCUGUAGACACUCAGCCAUGAAAAAAUAAAGACAAAUAUGCACAGGAAAGUCGAUGUUGCUAUGAACAGAAAGAAGUAGCGGUAGUUCCUCUGCAAGGAGCAUGAAAAAACAAUGGUGAUUAUUCUUGGCCAAUGGAAACUAUUUAAGAACGCAAAUACCGAUGGAACUUACUUAGACCGUUUAUUUGUAAGAUAUUAUUGCAUUUCUGAAAUAUGAAUUUGGAUUAUGCUUGACUUAUCAAUUUUUAAUGCAAACUAUGACACAUGUCUGCGAAGCCUCAAAAGUCGGUCAGUGAGACAUAUGUUAUGUGUGGUUCAGUGCUUAUAAAAAAUUGGAAGUCCACUUUCCUACUUAGGUGUCUAAUCUGAUUAACAAAUCCGGUCAGAGCUAACAAUUUUCCCUGGUGAUUUUGUAAAAAAGUAAGCUACCACUGAGAGUUUGGUCAAACACAACUAAUUGGAACUUUUUUGGUUAAUAGUACAACUAAAGCUGUAUGCAUAAGUCCAAAUUGCUUGGUAGUGUCUGGAGAAUCAGGAACAGAUUAAAAUUAGACAAAUAUCGGAGAUGAUUAAAGGAAAUUAGGCUAGGUUUGGGCUCCUUGCUGUCUCUUAUUGAAAGCAAAAUUCAUUCCACAGUGCUUAGUUGUACUCUAAUAUCUGUUUGAUGCCAAUGAUAUGCAUACUAGCAGUGAAAUAAGUAACAACUAACACGUGAUCUUUCACUGGAGGUCUGGAGCUAGAAUUUCAGAAUUACAACAUACUAAUAACUGUUUAAUGAGUUGCUUACUUACAAGUCCGAUGCACUGACCGACCCAUGGGCAGUGGUGGUCAAACUUGUGGACGCAGUUAUUGCAGAUGGAGCAGUGCGAGGAUCGUGGUGGGCGGUACCUUAGGCAGGUCUCGCAAAACUUCACCUUCACUGUGAAACCAUUCACAAUGACGUCCUUUGGCCGAUGGAACCUCAUCCGUGGGGUUCUCCCGCCGCUCCAGUCCAUGGACGGCGUGCUAGAGCCAAGCAAUUCAUCAGCUUCAGGUGGCGGCGCUCUUGUGUUCCUUGGUACUAUUCCUGGGUCUCUGGCAGAUGUCAUGUAGAGGAAGACCAAAUCCUGCAUUUGAGCCAUGGGUUGUUCAAUUUUACGCUCUAGUGGCAAUUGGAAUGUUUAAUUCUUGAAUUCUGGAUGGUCACACUUUCAGAUGUUAAGGCUAAAAUUGUUGUGGAUGGUCACACUUUCAGCUGGUAUGAAAGUAGAGAUGACAAAGGGGCUGCUCAAAAAGUUGCAGUAACGACUUGAUGGCAGCAUAUACUGACCAUAAUUGUUGUGAUGAUCACUAUCAGCAGUGCCGCUCGAUGCAUAUACUGUUGCCCAGUGGUGUGCUCCUGAGAGUGGUAAAAUUUGGAUUUCAUCUGGUAGCAGAAGGUGAUGGUUGGGCCGACGACGAGGAACGUCGACAGCAGCAGUGAGGCUGCAUCUGGUCCAAGUAUCAGCCGCCCACCACACAAGAAUACCUUCAGAUUAAGCAUGAUGUACGUCAGUAAAUGUCUCUCUGUUGCAGGUGCCCUAUGGCAUGGAGCUUUUUGUGAAGAACAAAUAACUGGAGAUGACAAGGCUAUGGGAUGCUGUGCCCGUGCAGACAUGGUGGCUAAAGGCUAAAGCACACAUGUACAGGUGAAGUGGAAAUGAGGAAGGUGAUGAGGUGAAUUAAGCUGGGGUACGUACGUUGUUUCCUUUCCAAGCUUGGUAGAGCCUCCUGGGUUUGGCGUCCAGCUGCUGCAGUGGCUCAUCGGCCUCUGGCUUCAUGAUCAUGUCUUCUCCUCGCCGCUUCUGUGUGAAGCUUUCCUCGUCUCAUGAGUCAUGGCAUGGUGAUGAGAAGGAAAUCUGUGUGUUCUUUGGUUUGAACGGAUCUGCAGAGCAGAAACAUUGUUGUUGCCGUAGGAGGAGGACGGAUCAUUGGCACACUCCCGCAGCAUGUACCAACUGGGUUUCCCUUUUUAAUUUAUGGAGUCCCCAAGGACAGGAGAAGCCGUGUGAGUAUGCAUGCAAGCAUAGGGAGGAGGGUUCUUUGUUUGCAAGCAUAGGGAGAAGGGUUCUUUGUUUUCUCCUCUUGUUUAGGUUAGGUGUGUGUUGACAAAUCACAGUGUUGAUCCCAGUUAUAUCCUGCCGUGAUCCCCGGCUUUGUAACGCAACGCUGUCCUCUCUCUCUCUCUCUCUCUCUCUCUCUCUCUCUCUCUCUCUCUCUCUCUCUCUCUCUCUCUCUCUCUCUCUCUCUCUCCACUUGUUUGGUUUGCUGUAUGGAGAUCACGUAGAUUGAAUACAACAGUAGUAGAAUAAUCCUUGUGGAUGCUCGGUUAACAGCUGGGAACUUAGUUUAUUGUGCUGCUGGUUUUUGGGA